GAAACUGUUAAUAAACAAAAUUAAGAGUUACCAGACAACACAACAAAUUUAAUAAAAUAAAAUUCUUGUUACAGUCAUAUUUGUAUUUUGAAGUUCCAGAUAUCAGUGUAUGUUAAUUUUUUAAUAAGUUGAUACAGGUGAAUAUUAAAGUUUCACACAAAAUGAGACGAUUACAAGGAACUUUUGGACCCAGAGAUCCUGAAGAAGAAAAGAAGAAGAGCAGAGAAUCAGUAUUAGCAAGUUUCGUCAUUUACGGAACGUUGUGUAUGAUCAUUAGAAGUGCUCCCUACAUCAUAGACCAUUUCUUCUAAGUUCCUUUUGCAGUAACAACCAAUGAUGAACUGAAAAGUUGAAUGUUGUGAUACUUUUAUACAAUUUACAUUAUUUGUGAAAGUAUAAUUAAAAUGUUAGUUGUCUGCAAUUGAUUAAUUUAAUAUUGCAAAAUAAAUGUGAUUCAUUCUGUUUUAAAUAAAUAUUGAAUAAAAAUGUGCUGACUA